GAUGAACGCUGGCGGCGUGCCUAACACAUGCAAGUCGAGCGAUUCUCUUCGGAGAAGAGCGGCGGACGGGUGAGUAACGCGUGGGUAACCUGCCCUGUACACACGGGUAACAUACCGAAAGGUAUGCUAAUACGAGAUAAUAUGCUUUUAUCGCCUGGUAGAAGUAUCAAAGCUCCGGCGGUACAGGAUGGACCCGCGUCUGAUUAGCUAGUUGGUAAGGUAACGGCUUACCAAGGCGACGAUCAGUAGCCGACCUGAGAGGGUGAUCGGCCACAUUGGAACUGAGACACGGUCCAAACUCCUACGGGAGGCAGCAGUGGGGAAUAUUGCACAAUGGGCGAAAGCCUGAUGGAGCAACGCCGCGUGCAGGAUGAAGGCCCUCGGGUCGUAAACUGCUUUUAUGUGAGAAGAAUAUGACGGUAACACAUGAAUAAGGGUCGGCUAACUACGUGCCAGCAGCCGCAGUAA
rnacentral:rRNA from 1 species